UUUCACAGUUGCGGGAGCCUAGAAGACUAGGUUGAGAAGUUGACUGAUCUGUCACAGACCGUUUAAACCUGAUCUGGAUCAUACCAGCGGAGGGAAGACUAUUCUAUGUACUU
rnacentral:ncRNA from 2 species